UAACGGCUUACCAAGGCAACGAUGCAUAGCCGACCUGAGAGGGUGAUCGGCCACACUGGAACUGAGACACGGUCCAGACUCCUACGGGAGGCAGCAGUAGGGAAUCUUCCGCAAUGGGCGAAAGCCUGACGGAGCAACGCCGCGUGAGUGAUGAAGGUCUUCGGAUCGUAAAACUCUGUUAUUAGGGAAGAACAUAUGUGUAAGUAACUGUGCACAUCUUGACGGUACCUAAUCAGAAAGCCACGGCUAACUACGUGCCAGCAGCCGCGGUAAUACGUAGGUGGCAAGCGUUAUCCGGAAUUAUUGGGCGUAAAGCGCGCGUAGGCGGUUUUUUAAGUCUGAUGUGAAAGCCCACGGCUCAACCGUGGAGGGUCAUUGGAAACUGGAAAACUUGAGUGCAGAAGAGGAAAGUGGAAUUCCAUGUGUAGCGGUGAAAUGCGCAGAGAUAUGGAGGAACACCAGUGGCGAAGGCGACUUUCUGGUCUGUAACUGACGCUGAUGUGCGAAAGCGUGGGGAUCAAACAGGAUUAGAUACCCUGGUAGUCCACGCCGUAAACGA
rnacentral:rRNA from 1 species